GCCCGCGUGGUGGAAUGGUAGACACAGGGGACUUAAAAUCCCCAGCCCCUGGUGGCGUGCGAGUUCGAGUCUCGCCGCGGGCACCA
rnacentral:tRNA from 1 species